rnacentral:rRNA from 1 species
CAGGCCUACGGGAGGCAGCAGUGAGGAAUAUUGGUCAAUGGGCGGAAGCCUGAACCAGCCAAGUCGCGUGAGGGAAUAAGGCCCUACGGGUCGUAAACCUCUUUUGCCGGGGAGCAAGGGCGGGGACGUGUCCCGGCCCGGAGAGUACCCGGAGAAAAAGCAUCGGCUAACUCCGUGCCAGCAGCCGCGGUAAUACGGAGGAUGCGAGCGUUAUCCGGAUUUACUGGGUGUAAAGGGCGUGCAGCCGGGCUGACAAGUCAGAUGUGAAAUCCCGCGGCUCAACCGCGGAACUGCGUUUGAAACUG